GGACGGAGUCCCAAUAUUGUAAUUUUCUCGCGCGAAAGAAUAAUCUCCCGUCUCGUCGUCUACUCCGCUCCUUGCUGCCAUCUCGCGGCGGAACAGGGGAGGGGAGGGGCGGCGAUCUCCAUCCGGCGAGCGGCGAGCAGCGAGCAGAGCAGAGCAGGGGAGGAGAUCCUGGGCUUCUCCUUUCUUCAUAAUGUAGGCAAUAUAGAUUUAGGGGGUGCCAAAUUGGAUCGUAGCGUCGUCUCCGUCUCCGUCUCCGUCUUGUCCACAGCUCCAGGCUCCACUCCUUGUGCUGCCACCCUCCCCUUUGCUUUGGACGUCACCUCCUCAUCAAUGCACGCCGAGCGUCGCGUACUUCCUCCAGCUCAUCUCAACGCCGGCGGCCGGUUCCACGCGGUGGCCGCGGCGGCCUCUGCCCCUCCGCUCGUUCCUCUCCUUGGGUGGGGGUCUUUAGAGCGCAGGGAGCCGCUCCGCCAGCCACAGCCCACAGCUCCUGAUCGUUUGCUUGUUUAUAUAUCAGAUUCAUGUUCUUCAUUUCUGUGCUGGUUAGUAUUUCCAAUCACCAACGCUUUCUUCAAGAAUGGAGGAGGAUGAAUCCAGUGAUGAAGUGUUCAUGAAGCAGAUGCUAAGGAAUCUGAUGUUUCAUGAACUUAACCGAGCAAAUUAUAGAAACCAGUUACCAAAUGUUUACAGCAUUUGUACAGUUCAAAUUGAGCAACUGUUGUAGUUGGAGUUUUAUGUCAGUCUGCUUUCACAUUUGAAAAUUUACAGUUACACAACAGGGUAGUCAAUAAACAUGAAAGUAAAAAAAGAAAAUCAAGCUUAUAUUUUUUAUGACAUUUUCUUCCAUCGGUGAUAUCUCUAUUCUAUUUUAUUUGGUAAUAAUAAUUUAUGAACAACUGAAUUCAUCUAGGAGUAAUGGAGUAUGAGGUAAAGUGCAGUAGUGCUGUCAUUGGCAUUCUGGAUGCAGCCACAGUAUAUGCCAUUUAUCUUGUCUUGUUUGUUC
rnacentral:lncRNA from 1 species